UUAAAAGAAGCUUUAUAAGUAUUUUGUUGUUAACAAAAAGAAGAAAAUUUUUCCUUUUAAA
rnacentral:tRNA from 1 species